GAUGAAGAACGUAGCGAAAUGCGAUACGUAAUGUGAAUUGCAGAAUUCAGUGAAUCAUCGAAUCUUUGAACGCAUAUUGCGCUCUCUGGUAUUCCGGAGAGCAUGCUUGUUUGAGUAUCAGUAAACACCUCAACUCUUUUUUCUUUUUUGAAAUUGGAGCUGGACUUGAGUGAUCCCAACGCUUUCUUCCAAGAAAGUGGCGGGUUGCUUGAAAUGCAGGUGCAGCUGAACUUUUCUCUGAGCUAUAAGCAUAUCUAUUUAGUCUGCCUAAAAAACAGAUUAUUACCUUUGCUGCAGCUAACAUAAAGGAGACUAGUUCUUGUGCUGACUGAUACAGGAUUCACAGAGACAGCUUCGGCUGACUUUGUAAACUCGAUCUCAAAUCAAGUAAGACUACCCGCUGAACUUAAGCAUAUCAAUAAGCGGAGGA
rnacentral:misc_RNA from 1 species